GGGUCAAUGAUGAGUACUUUAUAUUGCCUUGAGGAACGGUGAUGACUUCAAUAUCAAACACAAUGGCAUGAUGCUGUUGCCC
rnacentral:snoRNA from 1 species